CCUACGGGAGGCAGCAGUGAGGAAUAUUGGUCAAUGGGCGCAAGCCUGAACCAGCCAUGCCGCGUGCAGGAAGACGGCCUUAUGGGUUGUAAACUGCUUUUACAUAAGACUAACCGUAUAUUUGCGAAUAUACCUGAAUGUAUUAUGAGAAUAAGGAUCGGCUAACUCCGUGCCAGCAGCCGCGGUAAUA
rnacentral:rRNA from 1 species